rnacentral:rRNA from 2 species
UGGGGGAUAUUGCACAAUGGGGGAAACCCUGAUGCAGCAACGCCGCGUGAGGGAAGAAGGUUUUCGGAUUGUAAACCUCUGUCCUUGGUGACGAAACAAUGACGGUAGCCAAGGAGGAAGCCACGGCUAACUACGUGCCAGCAGCCGCGGUAAUACGUAGGUGGCAAGCGUUGUCCGGAAUUACUGGGUGUAAAGGGUGCGCAGGCGGGUAUUCAAGUCAGCUGUGAAACCUAUGGGCUCAACCCAUAGCAUGCAGUUGAAACUGUAUAUCUUGAGUGAAGUAGAGGUAGGCGGAAUUCCGAGUGUAGCGGUGAAAUGCGUAGAUAUUCGGAGGAACACCAGUGGCGAAGGCGGCCUACUGGGCUUUUACUGACGCUGAGGCACGAAAGCAUGGGGAGCAAACAGG